rnacentral:rRNA from 1 species
AUACGAAGGGUGCGAGCGUUAAUCGGAAUUACUGGGCGUAAAGCGCGCGUAGGCGGUUGGAUAAGUCGGAUGUGAAAGCCCCGGGCUCAACCUGGGAAUUGCAUUCGAAACUGUCCGGCUAGAGUACGGUAGAGGGAAGCGGAAUUCCACAUGUAGCGGUGAAAUGCGUAGAUAUGUGGAGGAACACCAGUGGCGAAGGCGGCUUCCUGGACCAAUACUGACGCUGAGGUGCGAAAGCGUGGGGAGCAAACAGGAUUAGAAACCCGAGUAGUCC